rnacentral:pre_miRNA from 1 species
GCCGGACGUUACGGCAUGACGACUCACGGCGUGACGCUGAACUUGUGACGAUCGCCGUUUUAAUUCGGGGGACCUAUAGGCAUUUGUUAACUCAUAAUCGUUUUAAAUCGCUCCGGAUCUAUAGCGAGCUGGGUGCGGGCGACCAUCGCGCUCGAGCUGCAACUCGCCCGGGCACCUGCAAAGCUCGGCGAGCACCAUCGUUAAAUACUUCGUACCAUUCUAUCUCUGCACCUAAACGUGUGCAGCUGAGUCCGCGCGCGGCCCCUCGCUGCUGAUGCCGGGGGCGCCCCCCGCGCCUGUCCCCGCCUCCCCUCCACGGAUUCCGGCGCGCCCGGGGGUUGGUAAUGGGUGCUAAUGCGUGUGGCAGCACGGCGUACAUUUGCCAGUUGCAUCUGGAAUGCUCAGGGCUGGCCUGCUCUGCCCUAGCCUGGCCCUGCCCUUGCACAGGGCACCCCUGCUGCAGUCACUUGCUGCGGCUAAGCACGGCUGCAACCCGUGGGGGGCGCUGCCGAUUGACGCGAAUGCAAGAGAUCGGAGGCCCGGCACCCAUUACCAACCCCCGGGCGCGCCGGAAUCCGUGGAGGGGAGGCGGGGACAGGCGCGGGGGGCGCCCCCGGCAUCGGCAGCGAGGGGCCGCGCGCGGACUCAGCUGCACGCGUUUAGGUGCAGAGAUAGAAUGGUACGAAGUAUUUAACGAUGGUGCUCGCCGAGCUUUGCAGGUGCCCGGGCGAGUUGCAGCUCGAGCGCGAUGGUCGCCCGCACCCAGCUCGCUAUAGAUCCGGAGCGAUUUAAAACGAUUAUGAGUUAACAAAUGCCUAUAGGUCCCCCGAAUUAAAACGGCGAUCGUCACAAGUUCAGCGUCACGCCGUGAGUCGUCAUGCCGUGACGUCCGGC